rnacentral:rRNA from 1 species
CCGGCACGGGUGAGUAACACGUAUCCAACCUGCCGUCUACUCUUGGACAGCCUUCUGAAAGGAAGAUUAAUACAAGAUGGCAUCAUGAGUCCGCAUGUUCACAUGAUUAAAGGUAUUCCGGUAGACGAUGGGGAUGCGUUCCAUUAGAUAGUAGGCGGGGUAACGGCCCACCUAGUCUUCGAUGGAUAGGGGUUCUGAGAGGAAGUCCCCCACAUUGGAACUGAGCACGGUCCAA